rnacentral:rRNA from 1 species
GUGGGGAAUAUUGGACAAUGGGCGCAAGCCUGAUCCAGCCAUGCCGCGUGAGUGAUGAAGGCCUUAGGGUUGUAAAGCUCUUUCAGUGGGGACGAUAAUGACGGUACCCACAGAAGAAGCCCCGGCUAACUUCGUGCCAGCAGCCGCGGUAAUACGAAGGGGGCUAGCGUUGUUCGGAAUUACUGGGCGUAAAGCGCACGUAGGCGGAUCAGUCAGUUAGGGGUGAAAUCCCAGGGCUCAACCCUGGAACUGCCUUUAAUACUGCUGAUCUAGAGUUCGAGAGAGGUGAGUGGAAUUCCGAGUGUAGAGGUGAAAUUCGUAGAUAUUCGGAGGAACACCAGUGGCGAAGGCGGCUCACUGGCUCGAUACUGACGCUGAGGUGCGAAAGCGUGGGGAGCAAACAGGAUUAGAAACCCUAGUAGUCC